UAACCUGCCCAAGAGAUCGGGAUAACACCUGGAAACAGAUGCUAAUACCGGAUAACAACAGAUGAUGCCUAUCAACUGUUUAAAAGAUGGUUCUGCUAUCACUCUUGGAUGGACCUGCGGUGCAUUAGCUAGUUGGUAGGGUAACGGCCUACCAAGGCGAUGAUGCAUAGCCGAGUUGAGAGACUGAUCGGCCACAUUGGGACUGAGACACGGCCCAAACUCCUACGGGAGGCAGCAGGGC
rnacentral:rRNA from 1 species